GACGUAGGGCGCAAGCGUUGUCCGGAUUUAUUGGGCGUAAAGAGCUCGUAGGCGGCUUGUUGCGUCGACUGUGAAAACCCACGGCUCAACUGUGUGGUCUGCAGUCGAUACGGGCAGCUAGAGUUCGGUAGGGGAGACUGGAAUUCCUGGUGUAGCGGUAGUGAAAUGCGCAGAUAUCAGGAGGAACACCGGUGGCGAAGGCGGGUCUCGUGGGCCGAUACUGACGCUGAGGAGCGAAAGCGUGGGGAGCGAACAGGAUUAGAACCGUACCGUCGUAGAUC
rnacentral:rRNA from 1 species